UACAGAGGUCUCAAGCGUUGUUCGGAUUCAUUGGGCGUAAAGGGUGCGUAGGCGGCGCGGUAAGUCGGAUGUGAAAUCUCGGAGCUUAACUCCGAAACUGCAUUCGAUACUGCCGUGCUUGAGGACUGGAGAGGAGACUGGAAUUUACGGUGUAGCGGUGAAAUGCGUAGAUAUCGUAAGGAAGACCAGUGGCGAAGGCGGGUCUCUGGACAGUUCCUGACGCUGAGGCACGAAGGCCAGGGGAGCAA
rnacentral:rRNA from 1 species